rnacentral:lncRNA from 1 species
UAGUUUUUUAUUCCAAUAUGCCUUUGCCUCGCGAAUCGGCCUCCGAACACCUUGAAUCUAGUCACAAUUAAUUUGAUUCAGUCAAUACAAAUUAUAGGAAUUAAUUUCAUAUGAAAAUACUAAUUUUCCAACAAAAUCCAAAAUUCCACUCAAAAAUUAUCAGUGGGAUCCACGUCUCGAAACUCGACAAAAGUUACAAAAUAUGAAUGUCCAUUUAACCACGAGUCCAACCAUACCAAAUUUACCAAAUUCCGACAUCAACUCGACCUCCAAAUCUCUAAUCUUAUUUUCAAAUCCCUAGGCCCAAUUUCUCGAAUUUCACCUAAAAAAUACGUAAUCUAGUCGGAAUACUCAAUGAUAAUUCAAUAUUAUUGACUAACAAUGAUUACAAGUGACUUACCUCAAGUUUUUCCGUGAAUUCUCUGUGAAAAAUUGCCUCAACCCGUGUUGGAAAUGUCCAAAAAAUGAGAAAAUCUCGGACCUGUCUAUUUUUGUACACUAUCCAGAGGUUUCGCUUCUGCGCAACCGCUUUUGCGGUCAUAUUGCCGCUUCUGUGCCUCCUUCGCUUCUGCGGACAAGAAAUCGCUUCUGCGAAGAAGCUGUCCGCUUCUACGGUUUUGCCCAGCUUCCCCUGUCUCCGCUUCUGCGACCUUGGUGUCGCUUCUGCGAGGUUCCAUCCGCUUCU